AACUAGAACAUCAACGCUAAUUAAAUUCUAAACAAGAUUAAUUCUAAUUAACAUCCUAAUAUUAAUCUAAUUCAAUGUCCUAAUUAAACUACUGAUCCUAAGUCCAGCAUGGGCCUUCGCUAGAGAAUAUGGCAAAGCCCAGACGCAGGGAGGUGCACGAACUGGUCAUGGGAGUGUAUGGUAUAUGGAUUGGGCCUAACGUGAGGCCUUAAGGCUCAAAGGUAUGAAAGAGUGCAGAAGCUCAUCAUCUCCUUCCUCUCUCUCACAGUGACUUCGCAGCGACGGUGCCUCAAGGAAAGAGGACGGUUGCGUCGGACCUGGCCUCGCCGGAUCUACACGUAUCGAUGCAAGCACCUUACUAAAACUCGAUACAAAUCGAGUCGGUAACGGAACCGCAUUGCGCGGUGAACACUCACAGACUCGAAUCGGGGUCCGAUUCAAACUACAACAGACGACUCGAUCGGUGCGAAGCAAAAAAAAGGAUCCUACCGGCGUCGGCGCGAGUUGAGGAUUCGUCGGAGAAGACGAUCGUCGUGGCAGCGACGUUAACGAAUGUAGUUCUCAUUCGUUUGUCCUCUUCUCAUCUGCGACGGAAUUCGAUUGCACACGACUUCUUGAUUUCUUUCGUAAUUUGCUCAGUCUUAUUCGAUUUGUGGAAUUGGUGUGGUUCAACCAGGGAUUGAAGAUGAUGAAUGACACCUUGAUGAGAACCGAGAUCGCUCCGAGAUAUUGAUUCCGGGAGAGUGUGAUUUUGGGAAGAGAAAAAUGGGAAGUUCAAGGAGAGGGUUCCAGAAGAAGAUUUCGAGAAGAAGAGAAAAGAAGAUUUCGGGAAGAGAUUGGAGAGAGCCAAAAAUCGCCGUGAAUCAAAGUAUUUAUAUCAUUUGCAAAUGGAUUCAGGUGAGUUUUCAAUUGCGUUUUGAUUUUCUCCGCGUCGUUUACAUCUUUCUUCUGUUGCCGUUUUGCUUGUUUUCCUGCUGCAACUUUGGUGCGUUUGGACGUCGUUUAUGCUUUAAGCUACGCUUGAAUUGGUGUUGCAUCAGCUUGUGCGUUUUUGAAAUGCAGCUUCUCUUUUGCGUUUGCAGCUAGCUACCGUUCAUUUCCAAUUUCGAUUUGCUUUGGCUCUCAUUGCGUAGCCGGAAUGCAACAGACGUUCAUGCCGCCAUUAGGACGUUGCUUUGUGUACGUCGUCGUUUGGAAGCUCCGUGUCGGCUUAGCUUGGAACGUAGCCUUUACAGCUUUUGCUUUUCCAAAUUGCUCUUUUGUCUUAUCUAAUUAAAUUAAUUGUUGGAUAAAUGGAUAUUGGAGAAAUUGAAUUAACUGAAUUGAUAAAUGGGUUUCAAGUGGCCUAAUGGACUUUGACCAAGAUGUAAAAAUCAAAAUGGAUUAAUAAUGGAUCAAAUAUGGAUUGUGGUUUUAGUUUAGUGAAUGGAUUAGUAAAUGGUUUUUGUAAAUGAAAGAUGGGUAAUUGGUUGGUUUUGGUUAAUUGGAUAUGAAAUUGGAUUAAAAAUGAUUUUAAGGGAUUUGGAUAUUAAACAAAAUGGGUAAGGGUUUUGGACAUGGAUAAUGGACUUUGGAUAUGUGGUAUGGAUACGGGCUCAACCCAAAGAAAAAUGGGCCUCCCUAAAUUAACAAUAAUGGUUCAUCCCCAAAAAUGAAUAAAAAGGCAAUUCUAAAGGUUAAA
rnacentral:lncRNA from 1 species